rnacentral:rRNA from 1 species
AGUUUGAUCAUGGCUCAGAUUGAACGCUGGCGGCAUGCCUUACACAUGCAAGUCGAACGGCAGCACGGGAGCUUGCUCCUGGUGGCGAGUGGCGAACGGGUGAGUAAUGCAUCGGAACGUGCCCUGAAGUGGGGGAUAACGUAGCGAAAGUUACGCUAAUACCGCAUAUUCUGUGAGCAGGAAAGCAGGGGAUCUUCGGACCUUGCGCUUUUGGAGCGGCCGAUGUCGGAUUAGCUAGUUGGUGGGGUAAAGGCCCACCAAGGCGACGAUCCGUAGCGGGUCUGAGAGGAUGAUCCGCCACACUGGAACUGAGACACGGUCCAGACUCCUACGGGAGGCAGCAGUGGGGAAUUUUGGACAAUGGGCGCAAGCCUGAUCCAGCCAUGCCGCGUGAGUGAAGAAGGCCUUCGGGUUGUAAAGCUCUUUCGCAAGGAAAGAAAACUUAUCUCCUAAUACCGAGGUCGAGGUUGACGGUACCUUGAUAAGAAGCACCGGCUAACUACGUG